rnacentral:rRNA from 1 species
UACGGAGGGUGCAAGCGUUACUCGGAAUCACUGGGCGUAAAGCGCGCGCAGGCGGCUAGAUAAGUUGGAAGUGAAAUCCUAUGGCUCAACCAUAGAACUGCUUCCAAAACUGUUUAGCUAGAGUCUGGGAGGGGAAGAUGGAAUUAGUAGUGUAGGGGUAAAAUCCGUAGAGAUUACUAGGAAUACCAAAAGCGAAGGCGAUCUUCUGGAACAGUACUGACGCUGAGGCGCGAAAGCGUGGGGAGCAAACAGGAUUAGAUACCCUGGUAGUCCACGCCCUAAACGAUGAAUGUUAGUCGUCGGGACUCUAGUAGUUUCGGUGAUGCAGUUAACACAUUAAACAUUCCGCCUGGGGAGUACGGUCGCAAGAUUAAAACUCAAAGGAAUAGACGGGGACCCGCACAAGUGGUGGAGCAUGUGGUUUAAUUCGAAGAUACGCGAAGAACCUUACCUAGCCUUGACAUAUUUUAGAACUCCGCAGAGAUGUAGAGGUGCCUUCGGGAGCUAAUAUACAGGUGCUGCACGGCUGUCGUCAGCUCGUGUCGUGAGAUGUUGGGUUAAGUCCCGCAACGGGCGCAACCCUCGUUCUUAGUUACUAACGGUUCGGCCGAGGACUCUAAGAAGACUGCCUUCGUAAGGAGGAGGAAGGUGAGGACGACGUCAAGUCAUCAUGGCCCUUACGGCUAGGGCAACACACGUGCUACAAUGGUUAGGACAAUGAGACGCAAUACCGCGAGGUGGAGCAAAUCUAUAAACCUAAUCUCAGUUCGGAUUGUAGUCUGCAACUCGACUACAUGAAGCUGGAAUCACUAGUAAUCGUAGAUCAGCUAUGCU